GCUGGAAUCGCUAGUAAUCGCAGAUCAGAAUGCUGCGGUGAAUACGUUCCCGGGUCUUGUACACACCGCCCGUCACACCAUGGGAGCCGGGAAUGCCCGAAGUCGGUGACCCAACCGUAAGGAGGGAGCCGCCGAAGGCAGGCCUGGUAACUGGGGUGAAGUCGUAACAAGGUAAC
rnacentral:rRNA from 1 species